rnacentral:rRNA from 1 species
AGUGAACGCUGGCGGUAGGCCUAACACAUGCAAGUCGAACGGCAGCACAGUAAGAGCUUGCUCUUACGGGUGGCGAGUGGCGGACGGGUGAGGAAUACAUCGGAAUCUACUUUUUCGUGGGGGAUAACGUAGGGAAACUUACGCUAAUACCGCAUACGACCUACGGGUGAAAGCAGGGGAUCUUCGGACCUUGCGCGAUUGAAUGAGCCGAUGUCGGAUUAGCUAGUUGGCGGGGUAAAGACCCACCAAGGCGACGAUCCGUAGCUGGUCUGAGAGGAUGAUCAGCCACACUGGAACUGAGACACGGUCCAGACUCCUACGGGAGGCAGCAGUGGGGAAUAUUGGACAAUGGGCGCAAGCCUGAUCCAGCCAUACCGCGUGGGUGAAGAAGGCCUUCGGGUUGUAAAGCCCUUUUGUUGGGAAAGAAAAGCAGCAGGUUAAUACCCCGCUGUUCUGACGGUACCCAAAGAAUAAGCACCGGCUAACUUCGU